ensembl:lncRNA
GGGGAACAAGAAACACAGAUCUCUCCACUGCUGGUAAAGUGGAAGACGAGAGCUGCAGGCCUAAUCACUCAAGAGCACAUUUCCUGCCUUCUGCAUGAUGAGAUGAAGCCAACUGAAACUGUCAAAGGCUAAUAUUUAACCCGAAGCUCAUUCAUUUUCAGCAGAAAACACACAGGGUUUAUCUGCACACAUAUCCGAACUGCAACAAUAUCCCAGCCUGGCGGGUUAAAAUCUCGGAUGUUGAGCAGCUCUUUAUUGUGGGCAAUAGGUGUGCUUUGCAAAAUGGUGAUAACAAAGACAAAAUGGUGUCAGGGACAUCUGUAAAAAAAAAAGAAAAAAGAAGAAAAAAAGAAAUCACAAAUGUUUCACAGGUAAGGUAUGAGAAUCAGGAUUGCUUAGCAACAGCAGUACAAAAAAAAAAAGACUCGCUCAUGUGUGGUAAGCAGAGAACCGGCCGUGCUGCCACCGAGCGGUGGCCUGACGGCACUUGCAGGAGGGACACCGGCACUUGAAAGCUCAGUCCUCAGAGGCAUACAUGCGCAGUAAGAAGAAGCUGCAGCUUUCGUGCAACGUGUGAACCACGCGAAUGAAGAAGGGCUUUAUUUUAAAAGAGGAACUGAGAGGAACACAAUUACUGCCAUAGGAGGACAUCGGCUGCUGUAGACGAGGAACAGAUAAAGAUGGGGCCCUGGACACAUACUGAAGACGGAGAAGCACGUAGCUGCCAGAUGCAACUUUGGAUAAAUAGCACAUGUACCUGCAUGUUCUCGUUUGCAUGACUGUGGGUGUUGUAGGUGUUUCUAGGAACAGAUCUUUGAAUCCAACUGAAGUUGAGUUGAAUUGAAUAAAAUAGCCUCAACCAAAGAGUGCAAAAAAAAAAAGAAGGAAAAAAUGGAGUAAAAAAAGAAAAGGAGAGAUGAAGAAAAAAGACCUAUAAAAUGGCAGCUGAGCUAAAGGAGAAGAAAAGGUGGGAAAUGUGCUUAUAAAGAGAGGAGGGGUAAAAAAAGAAAAAAAGGGAGGGCUGCUGCUGGUAGGUUGAGAUCUGAAGAAGGAGGUGGGCUUUGGAAAUGGCUGAUGCAGGGCGGUCUCUACAGGCAAUGAGGACUCUUUGUCAGGAGCAGGAAAUGAGGUUUCUGUUGUGAUUAAAAGGAAGGUUUCUAUGGCAAUGCAGAGAGCCGUGUGCACAGAGAAUUUCUUGGCAGCGGAGGGGGCUAAGUGAGAGUCGAAUGUCAAAGAAAGCAGCCUUCCUCCAUCUCAUCUCCCACCACCCCUCUGCUUUGCCACAGCACCACUUUUUAUCUCUCAUAAUCUGUUUUCAUAGACACAGUUAAGACUGCACCAGGGGGAUUAUCUUGAGCAAACCGAGCCACUGGUUGAUCAGUCAUUUAUGUUUACGGAGUAGCAGUUUCACUUCACCAAAUCGCUACUGUCAAAUUAAAUAAGGAAAGAAAGGUUUAGCUGAGAGGCUAAUUAAAGCAAACAAAGAAAACAAACCCCACAAAACUGAAGAUGAUUAGCAUAAUGACCUGAUUGUGUCUUUUCUUGUUUGUCCAGACAGGUACAGUUUUCUCCACUUACCCCCCUUUGCCUUGUUCAGCCCACGAAGUAAAAAAAAAAAAAAAAAGCACAGUGGCAUCAGUGUGACCUUUAAAAUCUAAAUAUAGUAAAAAUCUUUGUUUAUUGUUUCACUGAGUUCAAAUAUAUUUCUUUAAAUAAAUCCCACAUCCUGAUUUUCUAUUUUCUCCGCUGGAGGAAGUUGCUCUCUGCAGUACGUGCCAUAUUUGCCCCGAACACAGAUUUGAUGCAGGAUGUUUGGAUAAGGAGACAUUUCAAACUGGGGAUCAAAGAGAAUUUUUAAAAUGCUGUUGAUAUUACCGACUCACGUGAAAAUAAUAUGUUAAUGUACCCGGUCUCCCUUCACUUCCAAACAGACCGAGUGGAAAAAGGGACUGAUGUUAAAUGGUUGAUAUGUGCGACAACAGAAAAAAAGCUAAAGGGGGAAGUCAGAGCUCAGAGUUUAUUUGAUGCUCUUCUGACUAAUGAUAUCUAUCUAAUUUGCACCCCCCCCCCCCCCCUUCCCCUGGUUAACAAAAACAUCCAGUUACCUGCAUAUUCUUCUCAAUGAUCAUCAUUUGUAAAAUAAACAAAAUAAUAUCUGAAAAUAAACAUUGUUAUUCUGUUCAAAAG